rnacentral:rRNA from 1 species
GAUGAACGCUGGCGGCGUGCCUAAUACAUGCAAGUCGAGCGAGCACGCCCGGUGCUUGCUCCGCUGAAUUUAGCGGCGAACGGGUGAGUAACACGUGGGUAACCUGCCUAUCAGAGGGGGAUAACUUCCGGAAACGGAUGCUAAUACCGCAUAAUAUUUCGAACCGCAUGGUUCGAUGGUGAAAAGAGGUUUUAGCUUCUCCUAUUGGUUGGUCCCGCGCUGCAUUAGCUAGUUGGUGAGGUAACGGCUUACCAAGGCAGUGAUGCGUAGCCGACCUGAGAGGGUGAUCGGCCACACUGGAACUGAGACACGGCCCAGACUCCUACGGGAGGCAGCAGUAGGGAAUCUUCCGCAAUGGACGAAAGCCUGACGGAGCAACGCCGCGUGAGUGAUGAAGGUCUUCGGAUCGUAAAACUCUGUUGUUAGAGAAGAACAAAUGCUAAAGUAACUAUUAGCGUCUUGACGGUACCUAAUCAGAAAGCCACGGCUAACUACGUG